AAUAAAAUACAUGAAGAUAUAAACACAAAAAAAGUCAAGUAGCCUACAUAUUAAAGGAAAAGCUGACAGAAGUUUCUGAAAGAAAGAGAAAUUUUGACAGCAGUUGGAGAUGCCGAACAUUUGGUUCUCAGGGCAGUGUGUGAAAAGUGAAAACACGCACGGGACGCCAUCUAGCGGUGACUGUGCGUCACUGAAUAAUGCAGCCGCGCUGAAUGAACUCACCUCCAGACGCUCCUGGAAUCGGGAUUGGGACUCUUUACGUUCUUAAAGAAAUUCUUAAGUUCUGCCGUCAUGAGUGAGAACUCCAUCUCCAGCAGAUGGAGACGAGAUACAGCUGACCAGGAGCUGGAUGGACUAUGAGCAGGAUUUGACUCUCUUGCAGACAUGGUGUAAGAUGGAUAAAAACACAAUUCAUUCUGUGUACCGCUUACUUCCUGUCAGGUCUAUGAGUGCUGUGACUCGCUCACCCUCUGUCUGGAUGACAAUGUGCUAGUGCUACAGAGAGGUGGAUUCUGGGAAGAUUCUCUGGAUGUUCCUGUGAUCACAACUGCCUGCGAUGGACAGCUGCAGGUGUUUGAUCUCGUGGCGUCCUGUUCACUGUUGCGUUGUGUAAACCUCACCCUCGAGUUUGAGCCCAUCCACAAAGAUCAGUCCAUCUGAGUGUCUCGUCACUCUGUUAAAGACUAUGUUCUCUUCGCCUACAGGGAUGGAGGAGAGGCAGCAAUAUUCAGUGCUAAAGGUGGAGUUGUGUCCAUCACAUUGAAAGCUCAACACCCUGCAGCAUCUAUUCAAGCUGUUUUUGAUACCCCUAUAAAAGACAGAGGGAAAUCAUUCACACUGAACUCUUCAGCACAGCAUCUAUCCAGUACCUGCAGGUUCUUAUCUUGGGUUGCAGCCAGGACUACAUUUCACAGGUCACCAUCACAGGGGGCGGAUCCCACACUGUGGCCCUUUGUCCCAAACCCCUCACAGCACCACCACAGAGAUUAUAAUCUGGAACCUUGAGACUGAAGACCAUAAACACAUUGCACGGUUUCCUGGCCUGCUGGCUCAUGGUGUGUGUUCUGAUCUGCAGUACUGUGUGGGUUUCUGUCCCGGGGAAGCGAUUCUUACGCCUGUGGAACCUGGGAUCCAGAAUAAAUGACCACACACUCACA
ensembl:lncRNA